CAGGCAGCAGACCGGAGCCGAGGAGAAGGGCAGGAGACCGGAGGGUAACACUCAGCUCUGCACAAAUGAGUUGUGAAUGUUGCUGCAACAAAUAUGACUUGGCACUUGAUGGCAGCUGAAGCCCCACAAAACAUUAUCCUUCGUGUCAUCGAGGCAGACCGUGUUAGAAAAUUAAAACUCAGCUCCCGUCCAGCCUCUGUUGAUGCAGUGAUUGAGAUUUUAAAAGAACAACUGGAAUUGGACUGUGACUUCAGUUUGCAAUACAAAGAUCCAGACUUUGAUGGAAAACUCACUUGCCUUGUUGACAUCGAGGAGUUACCACAAAAAGCCUGUGUUCAUAUUUCAGUUAGACAGGAUUCCAGUUCUCUUGCAUCAACUGAUACCCUUUCAGAUGUGUCAUCCCCAGAACGUCUGAGCAGAUGGCCUCCAGGUCCUUUACAAAUUCCCACAUUUGCAUUUGACGUUGAGCUGACACUUAGAGAUGGGAAUGCUGAAUUUGAAAAGAAUGAGAGACCUCUUCAGUUGUCAAGGGACCAAAAGCACAAUAUUUUAGACAAACUGGCAUCUACCAUAUAUGGUUUUAAGGCUUACCCCAGUGAUAAAGAGAUAGCAAUGGUGGCUGAAGCUCUUGUGAGGAAACACCCCUGUUUAAUAGAAGCAGGAUCUGACAAUGGAUGGGAUGGCUGGAAAAACAGCAUCAAGU